rnacentral:misc_RNA from 1 species
GAAAUGCGAUAAGUAAUGUGAAUUGCAGAAUUCAGUGAAUCAUCGAAUCUUUGAACGCAUAUUGCGCUCCCUGGUAUUCCGGGGAGCAUGCCUGUUUCAGUAUCAGUUCUCCAAAGCAAACCUCCUUUCGGUGGCAAGCUGAUUUGAAUCUUCUCAGGAACCAUAUUUUUAUGUGGUGAUGGAGUGAUUUGAAAUUAAGUGUACAGCAGUAUGUUAUCUCAUACAAAUCGACCUUUGGUGUAAUAUGUAGCCUUAACAGGUCCUACUAUUUUAUUCGCCUCAGGAAGAGAGACAACUCUGGCCUGUCACCUUAAAUUAACUGUGUGCUUCGGCAAACAGAACCCUUGAUCUGAAAUCAGGUAGGAUUACCCGCUGAACUUAA